rfam:Candidatus Saccharibacteria bacterium RIFCSPHIGHO2_12_FTLL_44_22 rifcsphigho2_12_scaffold_126, whole genome shotgun sequence.
GCAGUCUGUUGAGCGAUCGCUGGUAUAGUAAUAUACGAGAGGAAAGUCCGGGCAGCAUAGGGCAUGACAGUUGUUAACGACAACCGGGGGCGACCCUAGGGAAAGUGCCACAGAAACGAAACUACCUCGCAUGAGGAAAAGGUGAAACGAGUGGGGUAAGAGCCCACAGCAUUCCGUGGUGACACGGCGUGAAGGUAAACCCUGUUAGCUGCAAGGAGGUCUGUAUAAAAGGGCGGCUCGUCCGCAGGCCGACACCCGCUUGAUCCGUCAGGCAACUGACGGGCUAGAUAGAUGAUCGUUCACGACAGAACCCGGCUUAUAGAUAGGCUGCCAAC